AAUCUGUGGGCAAAACAGCCUGAGACAACCGUCUGGAAACUGGGGUCAGAACUGAAGGUGGCAUCGGUGGCUGGGGACCUGAGGUGGCCUGAGAUUUUUGUCUGUGGCAGAAAGAACUGGCAAGUCUCUCAGUGAUGACGUGUUUCGUGAGGUGGAGGUGCCUCUCACAGGGCGAACCCCUACCCUCCGGACCAGUAUGUGCUAGAGCAUCUCUGGCGCUUCCUGGGACAAGGGCAGAAGGAAGAGCCUGGAAUCCUGGAGCCCAGAAAACCCAGUUCCAGGAGGCGAGGAACUCCUGGGAUGCAGUAGGAGCAUCUUUAGGAGGCAAGAAGCAGCGCGGCUCCUCAGGACUCGGAGGAAGAAGGAGAGAGGCUCCCAGCAGGACCCAGCAGGCCGGCUGGAGGCAGAGCUCCACAGCCACCUGCAGGAUGGGAGCUGGCUUGCAGGGCCAGGCUCUGCCAGAGCUUGGAGAGCAUCUGAGAAAGGAGUCAGCCCAGACGCUGAUUGCCAGUUAAGUCUACCUCCCGCAAGGGCAAGUGUACUUGGCCAGGAGACCAUGCCCUCCCAGCUCCUAAGGAUGAAUUUUCCAUCCUUGAAUUACUUUUCCUUCCCCCCCCCCCUUUUUUUUUAUUUAAAUAAGUAAGAUCCACCCUGUGUGUGGAGCCCAACACGGGUCUUGAAUUCCCAACCCUGACAUCAAGACCCGAGCUGAGAUCAAGAGUCGAACACUUAACCCACUGAGCCACCCAGGCACCCCUCCAAGGUUGACUUUCUGGUGUCAGCUGGAGGGGAGAACAUAUCCUUAUGUACAAUUCCUCCAGUCACUCCCAGUAGAAAGCUUUUCUGGGUUCUAUUUUUGCAGCCUUUGCCCUGCCCAGUUUUGGGGGACCACUCUAGAGUCCUUUAUAACCCCUGGUGUCACAGCAUGGGGUGGGGGCGGUGGUCCUGGGCUGACCUAGGCUCUCAGCAGCCCAGGCCAGCAGCGGGGAGGGGAUGGAACCGAGCUGGUGGGCCCGGGAGUGGGAAGUCAGGAGAAGAGCAGGCCAGAGCCCACGUCCUGGGGGUCCUGGGGAAGGAUGAGGGUCAGCGGAGAGGAGCAGAAUAAAUCAAAACCCUGUUUUUACGGGUACA
rnacentral:lncRNA from 12 species